GACGUAGGGCGCGAGCGUUGUCCGGAUUUAUUGGGCGUAAAGAGCUCGUAGGCGGCUUGUCGCGUCGACUGUGAAAUCCCGCGGCUCAACUGCGGCCUGCAGUCGAUACGGGCAGACGUAGAGUUCGGUAGGGGAGACGUGGAAUUCCUGGAUGUAGCGGUGAAAUGCGCAGAUAUCAGGAAGAACACCCGUGGCGAAGGCGGCUCUCUGGGACGGUACUGACGCUGAGACGCGAAAGCGUGGGAGCGAACAGG
rnacentral:rRNA from 1 species